CAGAGAUCCAGAGGCUGUGACAUCCUAAAGGCAUAAUGAAAAUUCAAAUUGCCGACCAGUUCUUUGCAUCAGGUUUCAACACACACAAGCUCCGGUGUGGGAGUGAGGCAAAGUUCACGAGAGACUAAUUGAAAAUGAGGUGUGACAUUAAUUUUAAAUUUGCUCAUUUGAAUGGAUCCUUGUAAAUGUCUGAGGCUCCAGCUCUGGGUUCCCUCCCAGUAUAGUCACAGACCGGC